AUUGAACGCUGGCGGCAUGCCUUACACAUGCAAGUCGAACGGUAACAGGUCUUCGGAUGCUGACGAGUGGCGAACGGGUGAGUAAUACAUCGGAACGUGCCUAGUAGUGGGGGAUAACUACUCGAAAGAGUGGCUAAUACCGCAUGAGAUCUACGGAUGAAAGCAGGGGAUCGCAAGACCUUGUGCUACUAGAGCGGCCGAUGGCAGAUUAGGUAGUUGGUGGGAUAAAAGCUUACCAAGCCGACGAUCUGUAGCUGGUCUGAGAGGACGAUAAUACAACCUGGGACUGAGAAACGGCCCAGACUCCUACGGGAGGCAGCGGUGGGGAAUUUUGGAUAAUGGGCGCAAGCCUGAUCCAGCAAUGCCGCAUGCAGGAUGAAGGCCUUCGGGUUGUAAACUGCUUUUGUACGGAACGAAAAGCCCCGGGUUAAUACCCUGGGGUCAUGACGGUACCGUAAGAAUAAGCACCGGCUAACUACGUGCCAGCCGCCGCAGUAA
rnacentral:rRNA from 1 species